rnacentral:snoRNA from 1 species
AAGCAUAAAUUCCAAUUAAGCCAGCCAUGUUCCUGUCCUCAUGGGGACCCAGUGUGCUGCAGCUGGAGAUAGCCGCCUCCUGGGUCAUGUACACAGCCUGUUGCUUGUAGGGGUUCCUCAAGGAACCCUGAGACAGCC